AAAACUAAAGAAAAGAAGUUUAAAGGAAAGGGUAAAGUUAGGUUUCAAAAUCAAAAGCCUAGGUCUAACAAUCAAUUCCAAAAACCUAAGAAACAAGGUGAUGAGAGGUUCUGCUUUGUCUGUGGUCGGGACAACCAUUUUGCAUCCAAAUAUUUCUACAAGAAAAAGCAGAAGAUUUUAUAUAAAAAGAAGAAUAUAAAGAACCAAAAUUAAACUAAACCUU
rnacentral:lncRNA from 1 species